rnacentral:rRNA from 1 species
UACGUAGGGGGCAAGCGUUGUCCGGAAUCAUUGGGCGUAAAGCGCGUGUAGGCGGCUCGAUAAGUCUGCUGUGAAAGUUCAGGGCUCAACCCUGAAAUGCCGGUGGAAACUGUCGAGCUAGAGUCCGGAAGAGGCGAGUGGAAUUCCUGGUGUAGCGGUGAAAUGCGCAGAUAUCAGGAGGAACACCAAUGGCGAAGGCAGCUCGCUGGGACGGUACUGACGCUGAGACGCGAAAGCGUGAGGAGCGAACAGG